rnacentral:rRNA from 1 species
UACGUAGGGGGCGAGCGUUGUCCGGAGUUACUGGGCGUAAAGCGCACGCAGGCGGUCUGCUAAGUUUGGAGUGACAAGUUGAUGGGCUCAACCAUCAAAGUGCUUCGAAAACUGACAGACUUGAGGGCUUCAGAGGGACACGGGAAUUCCGGGUGGAGUGGUGAAAUGCGUAGAAGAUCCGGAGGAACACCGAAGGCGAAGGCAGGAUGUCCUGGGGAGUA